GACAGAGGGUGCAAACGUUGUUCGGAAUUACUGGGCGUAAAGCGCGUGUAAGCGGUCUCGCAAGUCGGAUGUGAAAGCCCAGGGCUCAACCCUGGAAGUGCACUCGAUACUGCGAGGCUAGAGUCCCGGAGAGGAUGGUGGAACUCUCGGUGUAGAGGUGAAAUUCGUAGAUAUCGAGAAGAACACCAGUGGCGAAGGCGACUUACUGGAUCAUGACUGACGCUGAGGCUCGAAAGCGUGGGGAGCAAACAGGA
rnacentral:rRNA from 1 species